UGAGAAUUGGUUGAAGGCCAUUGUGGCAUAAUACCAUUAGGAGAAUCAUGUGAUCAAUGUUGGACCACUGGAUUGGAAUGGAAUCUUGAUAGAGAAGAAAUGAAGAUAGGAGGAUUGAUCAGUACAUGUAAUUUGCUAAAAUCAGAUCUCGUGCCACAUCCACAAGACUACACUGUGACUAUUAAAUGCACUCAUAAAGUUGUGUUCUCUUUUUCACACAAACUAUGUAAUGUAUAACUAUAAUACAAAUUGAUACACUAAAACUAGUAAAAACCUUUUAACAGUUACUCUAUGUUAAGUUGCUCUAAUUCCUUUUAUUGUGGCAUACGUUCAUAAACAUCUUCAGGUGAUGUUUGACAUUCAUCAUAAA